GAAACAGAAGAAGGAGCUGAUCACCGCAGACCCUCGCCCAAAUCCCAGCUCUGCCCUGGGGGUGCUCCCCUUCACGGAAAGGAGAAGGAGGGUUGGAGCUGAGGUAGGGAAGUGUAGGACAAUUGCCUGCUGAGAGGGGGUGGCUGGGACCAAGGCGGAGGCACGGAACAUCACCAUGAAAAGCAGUGCCUGGGGAGUUCUGGCUCAAAGAUGGGGAGACUGAGGCCCCGGGGCGGCGGGUGAUCUGUGCACGGACACUCUGCAGAGGUGAAUGUCUUUUGAACCCAAGACCCCUGCCUCCAGCCAACAGUGGCCUCUCUUGACGAAAGUCUGGCAGAGAGAGACUGGGCGAUGAUGUGGAGGUCACAGUGGGAGAGCCUGCCUGGAGUUCUUGGCUAUGAUCUUGGACCCUACGUGGAGAUGAAGGUACCGAUUCCUUGCUCUCCUGGGAGGCAGAGGAGCCUCUCCUUCAGCCCACCCCUUCCUACCAAGAUAGGCUUCCCAACCCCUGACUAUAUGCUGAGAAUGGACUCAUGGAUGGAGACCUUGCAAGGAGGACAAGGGUUUCCUCUCAUCCCUACAUCUCUGCCUCCCCUCCAGGACCCUGAGCUCCCCGAGAAAAGGAAGAAAAUGUCAUCCCCUCUGACUGAAGGUGUCCCUGUGAUCUUCACGGGGUUAUUGCCGACCCAUUACUUUUCACACUAAUGACAUGCUCAUCGCUGUCAAUGCCUUUUUAUUUCUUGAGAAGUGUUUAUACUCUUGCAACAGCCUGAUAAGUGAAAUCAUCUAACACUUGGAAACAAGGCAAAUAGAUAACUGGUGUUCUUUCAAAGGCAAAUUAGAGUGGUGGCUAACAAGCCCUCCUAAGGGUCAUCUGACACUCCAGGGGAAUGUCACUUUGCUUGACUUAUUAUUUACUAUUGAUUAGGGCCCAGGCUCUGUAAAGAUAGCUGUUAGCUGGUAGAAAACUGAUAAGUUGCCAAUUGUUUUUGUCUGGUUGAAAUGCAAAUGAUCACUUCUCAAUAGAAAAGAUAACCCCAGCAUUAUGAUUUUAUUGCUGCAUAGAACCUUAACCAGUUUUGCAUCUAACUUAGCAUACUUAGGAAUAGUCCAGAAUUCUUGGGGGGGUUUUGGGGUUAUUGUUUUUGUUUUUCCUGAAUCUUUCCACCUAUAGUUAGAUAUAAGGUUUUUGUCCUCAUACCCUUCAUCUAACUAGUUUUGUUCCUUCAUUUAUAAGCUACAUAAAAUUAACAUGUGCUCACUAUGUAUUUCUACAUAGAAUUGUGUAUUUCAUGUUUUGAAAGCUAUACUUUGAGAAGAUUUUCACAGUAUUUGGUUUUUCCUCGUGCUCACUCUGCCACUCUCUGCGUGACCUUGGGCAAGUCUUUCUAUCUCUGGUCUUAAGUUAUUUCAUAUGUAAAACAGGAGCAACCAGGCUGACCAUUCUGGCUCUGACAUAAUAUUUCUAACUCCUCUUGGCGGGGAAGCAAGACUAACACAAUGCAAUCAAAGAUGUUCCUGGAAGGGAUGUUACAGACCAGCCUUCCUGCUUCCCACCAUGCCUUCAUCUUGACAGAAGGAGAAACUGAGGCUCAGAGGGGUUAGGUAACUUGCCCAAGGUCACACAGAUAUUAUUCAUAAUGAUGACUUAUUUUGCUGUUGUGUUUGACAGUAUAAACUUCCUCAUAUAUUCCUAUAAUCCCUCAGCAGCCCACUGAGCAGGCUGUAUCAUCCCCAUUUAACAGAUAAAGAAACUGAGGCCCAGCAAAGUGACGUGGCUUGCCCAAGGUCAUAGGGAGAUUUCAGCCCCCCCAAGCCCCUGAAUCCUGGGGACCACCCUUAAGUAUCAUUGUCUGGAGUUUUUGUAUAUAUGUGUGAUGUCAUACAAGACGGCAAAUGAAAAAGGAGUCCCAAAGCCUUGAAAACUCUGGCCCUAGACUCUCAUGACCUGCCCAGGUACGACAGCCCUCCCUCUUCUCCUCUUCUUCUCCUCCUCCCUCUGGCAAAAUUCUCAGGAAAAAAUUUAAAAAAACCAUGGUGGGAGUUCCCAUCGUGGCGCAGCAGAAAUGAAUCCUACUAGGAACCAUGAGGUUGCAGGUUCGAUCCCCGGUCUGGCUCAGUGGGUUAAGGAUCGGGCGUUGCCGUGAGCUGUGCUGUAGGUUGCAGAUGUGGCUUGGAUCCCAUGUUGCUGUGGCUGUGGCAUAGGCCGGCGGCUACAACUCCGAUUCAACCCCUGGGAACCCUAGAAAAAUACAAAAGACAAAAAAAAAAAAAAAAAAAA
rnacentral:lncRNA from 1 species